GGAGGAGCAGGAUUGCCCUAGGCAACAGACUGCAGGUGUGACUGAUGAGGGAACUCUCAGCCAGGAUACCUUCAUCCUGACCCUAAGGAGAAUACAGCAAACUUCCAGGUGGUACCGUUUCAGUAUCAAAGGCCUCAGCAGCUGAGCUGCAUCAGAAGUAGAGCCUAAUAGGAGGAUCUUUCAUUGUUUUCAGUGGUUUGAUGUAACUCCUGGGUGAUGUCAGCCCUCGGAUUGAUGGUUGGUGUAAGAAGGUCUCCAUAUGGUGUCAAUUUAUUCCCUCUGUUGUUGUCAGUAGCCCAUAGUCAUCUGUACAUGGAAAAGCCAAAUUCAAGAAAAACAUACAUUAAUACUUUUUGUUUAAUGAUGGAGCUUUUACUUCUGAUUUUCUGAGGUGACUCCAUAUAUUUGUUGGAGAGAGUGUUGUCAUCAGCUAAAAUGUGUGCAAUACUUUUGUAGUGUCAAGAAAGAAUAGGUUUCUGUGGAAGCAUUGGUACUGAUUCUGAAGAGUGCUUCUCAAGUAAUAAAUCAA